GAUGAACGCUGGCGGCGUGCCUAAUACAUGCAAGUAGAACGCUGAAGGAGGAGCUUGCUCUUCUGGAUGAUUUGCGAACGGGUGAGUAACGCGUAGGUAACCUGCCUGGUAGCGGGGGAUAACUAUUGGAAACGAUAGCUAAUACCGCAUGACAACAGUUAUUGCAUGAUAACUGUUUAAAAGGGGCAACUGCUCCACUACCAGAUGGACCUGCGUUGUAUUAGCUAGUUGGUGAGGUAACGGCUCACCAAGGCGACGAUACAUAGCCGACCUGAGAGGGUGAUCGGCCAAACUGGGACUGAGACACGGCCCAGAAUUCUAAGGGAGGCAGCAGUAGGGAAUCUUCGGCAAUGGACGGAAGUCUGAACGAGCAAAGCCGCGUGAGUGAAGAAGGUUUUCGGAUCGUAAAGCUCUGUUGUAAGAGAAGAACGAGUGUGAGAGUGGAAAGUUCACACUGUGACGGUAUCUGACCAGAAAGGGACGGCUAACUACGUG
rnacentral:rRNA from 1 species